rnacentral:rRNA from 1 species
AACGAACGCUGGCGGCAUGCCUAACACAUGCAAGUCGAACGAUGCCUUCGGGCGUAGUGGCUCACGGGUGCGUCACGCGUGGGAAUCUGCCUUUCUGCUCGGAAUAACUCAGGGACACUUGGGCUAAUACCGGAUAACUUCGCCUAACCAAAGAUUUAUCCCCCAAAGAUGAGCCCGCGUAGGAUUAGCUAGUUGGUGAGGUAAAGGCUCACCACGGCUACGAUCCUUAGCUGGUCUGAGAGGAUGAUCAGCCACACUGGGACUGAGACACGGCCCAGACUCAUACGGGAGGCAGGAGUGGGGAAUAUUGGAAAACGGGGGAAAGGAUGAACCAGCAAGGCUGGGAGAGUGAUGAAGGCCUGAGGGUUGUAAAGCUCUUUUACCCGGGAAGAUAAUGACGGUACCGGGAGAAUAAGCCCCGGCUAACUCCGUG